GCUGGUCUUGCUUGAUCACGCAGGAGAACGUCCCGCGGUGCGUGAGCUGAGCCGGCCGGAUCCGCGCCAGGUAUCCUUCGGCCCGCGGCAUAUCUCGGAAAUAGGACAAGUCCUGAGUCCGGAGCUGCGGGACACGCGGGUUUAAACGCCUCAACUCCGGCUUGCCACUGAGUAACCUACAAGCCCCGCCCCCCGAGCCAGACCACGCCCCCUGGAGUCCUGGCCCUGAGCCUUGAGCCCGCCCCCGAGCCUUCUCGCUCCCCUGCCCUAAACGCACCCCUUCCCCUCACUCCUUAAACCCUUACGCAUAACCUACCCCUAGAAACUGCUUUUAUUUAUGUAUUUUUUUUUUCUUCCAGACAGGGUCUCGUUCUGGCGCCCAGGCUGCAGUGCAGUGGCGCGAUCAUAGCUCACUGCAGCCUCAAACUCCUGGACUUAAGCAGUCUUCCCGCUCAGCCUCCCCAGUGGCUGGGACUAUAGGCGUGCACCACCACGCCCCGGCUGUUUUUAAAAUUUUUUGGCAGAGGAGGGGUCUUAAUUUGUUGCCGAGGCCGGUCUCAAACUCCUGGGCUCAAGCCAUCCUCCCGCCUUGGUCUCCAAAAGCGCUGGGAUUACAGGCGUGAGCCAUCGCCCCAGGUCCUUGGUCCUGCAUUCUGAUCUUCGAGCUCUCCCCUAAAUCCCGCGACCCUCCUCUUGCUGAUGCUUGUGUCUAGACGGAGAUUCCCGGAGUCCCGUCCCCGCAAGCUGACUCCCCAACCUCUAGUGAAGGCUAACUCGCCCGUCUAAACUCUUCGCGCCGGCCCCGCCCCGACUCACACCUCCUCCUGCGAACUUCCAGGAAUAGGUGAUCUCCUCCUUUGGCAGCUGGAAGUUUACGAUGCAAGAAAACAUAGCCUGGUCGCCCCGAGUCACUGUCACAUCCUGAACUGAAGACGGAGCAGGGUUCACUCGCUGGGCCCCGACCACGUCUGGCCUCGCCACCAGCUUAUGCCCCUCGGUGCUCUGGUCCCUUUUCUCAGGUUGGCCUCCUGCACCCCGAGGCCCCGCCCCCUCACCUGGGCAGUCCAGCGGGAGGUCGCAGACCCUAGAGUAGCACCCGCUGCAGAGGAAACGCCGGGCGAACUCCUGGAGACCUGUGGAGCGGGAACGCUGGGUCUAGGCGCCACCUGCCCUUCCAAGCCCGGGGCCCUUGGCCCAUUUGAGAUCCAUGCAGCUUCCCGGGGUCCAUCGGCCAGGUGGCAUCUUGACCCCGCCCUCCCUGCUGUCUUUGGCCGACUCUCACUCCUCUCCGCCCUCUAGGAUUCCUAUUGGUUUGCUUCGGCUCUCACACACACCUUCUGAGGAUUUAGAGCAAUACUUGGUUUUCUUCCUUUUCUCCAGGGAUCUUAUUGGCUUCCUAAGGAUGUGAAGCCCACCCGCUUUCCCACACUUGAUGUCGUACGUUUCGUCCCCGACCGCCUCCCUUACCCCGCAAUUUCCAAGUUUUAGAUGAAGUCCUUACCGCAGGGAGGGAUGCAAGCCUGGGCUGUGGAGGAAGAGGAAACAUCACUACCUUACAGUCAUGGGAAGAACCCUUGCCCGAUGCUCCCCUAGCUAAUGUUACAAGGCCCGAAGCAUUGCUCCGAGGGGGCGGGGCCAAGCUUUCGUCAUAACCUGGGGGCGGGGUCAAGCCGGCUGGGUUCCACCUGGGGCCGGGGCCAAGCCUGAGCAUUCCACUAGGAGGUCAGGCCCAGGACUGCUGCCAGCCUUCUACUUGGGGUUUAGAGGGAAACACACUGGUUUUCUGUAGGCCCUGAUGGGGAUGGGCAAUCCAGGUGUAUUCCACCGAGGAGGCGGGGCUAGAUCCUGGGCGAUCCUUGCAGGAGACCAAGGCUAAGGUGGUGGCCCAGUUAGAGAAGAGGCGUGGCCAGGUUAGUAGUAGUCCCGGAAAGGGGCUCAGUUGGAGACGAAACCUUUCAUCGAAGGGGCGGGGCCAGAUCAAAAAUGGUCCACGCGGGGAAAUAGUCGUCCCUCAAGGUCUGAGGCUCAGAGAUGGGGCCAGGGGAUUGUACGGGGAGUGGAUGGGGGGUCUCAGGAGUGGGUUUCGUUUUGAGAUGGAGUCUUGCUCUGUCACCCAGGCUGGAGUGCCGAUCUCGGGUCACUGCAACCCCGCCUCCAGGGUUCAAGCAAUUUUCCUGCCUCAGCCUCCUGAGUAGAUGAGAUUACAAGCAUGCGUUACCACGCCCAGCUAAUUUUAGUAUCUUUAGUAGAUAUGGGUAUCACCAUGUUGGUCAGACUGCUUUUGAACUCCUGAUCUCAAGUGAUCUGCCCGCCUCAGCCUUCCAAAGUGCUGGGAUUACAGGCGUGAGCCACCAUCCCCGGCCAAAAGUGGGGUUUUCUAAUUGUGUGUGUGUGUGUCUGGGGAAGGAGAGAUGGAGUGUAUUUUACCUUCUUUAAGCUGUGUAAUGACCUUCUUCAUUUUCUCCGCAGCAUCAGGGAAGGCAACCUCAAAGGAUCCUGGAGAGUGGAGGGGAGGACGGCCUGUGUAGUAAAGCCCUUCCCCCAGGGCUUGGUCCUUGGUCCUGCAUUCUGAUCUAGCCUGGCUAGGGCUAGGCUGGCCCUAGCUCACAGGACGUACUGUCAUGGUAUCUGCCCUUCCCUGGCCCCUCUUCACCCCUCUCAUUACCAUAUUCUCUGCUCCUCUUCUCAUCACCCGCCCUCUGUAGUUGAAGGCUAACAAGUCCCUAAGUCUCCUUUCUUCUGCCUCCUGAAUCUCUCCAGGAUGGAAGUCCUCCUGGACAUCACCUGCAUGUAGCUUGUUGGGGGGAGAAGGGGAGGAUAAAGAUCAAAUUCCUCACCAAGGCCUAUUAGGUCUUACAUGGUUUGGCCUAGUUCCCCCUCCCUCCCUGUCCCAUCCCUACUGCCCACCUUUCAUUUCCUUUAUUUUAUUUUAUUCAGACAGUGUCUCACUGUCACCCAGGCUGGAGUGCAGUGGUGCGAUCUCGGCUCACCGCAACCUCCGCCUCCUGGGUUCAAGUGAUUCUCCUGCCCUAGCCUCCCGAGUAGCAGGGACUGCAGGUGUGCACCACCACGCCUGGCUAAUUUUUGUGUUUUUAGUAGAGAUGGGGUUUCACCAUGUUGGCCAGGCUGGUCUCGAACUCCUGACCUCAAGUGAUCCACCCACCUCAGCCUCCCAAAGUGCUGGGGUUACAGGCAUGAGCCACCGUGCCUGGCCUCAUUUCCUUUAAUAUGAAAACCACCACAUUCCCUAGCACCUCAGGGCCUUUGCACAUGCUGGCUUGUUUUUAGCACAUUUUUCCUUCUCCUAAUCAUCCUUCCAUCACCACAAAUCUAACCAAGUUCCCUGUUUUUGUCUCUCAUCGCAAUCAUUUCAUUCCUAGCUCUCAUCUGUCUGCAAUUACAUAUAUUUAUAUAUAGAUGAUGAUCACUUAUGUCUGUCUCGUAAGUAAAUAAACAUGUUCUUCUGUAGCACUGUGUCCUCUGGAUCCUGGAGAGGGCCCUCAGUCUUAGAAGUGCUCAGUAAGUAUUUGUACAAUGAAUUCCAGGAUCCAACUUGAACUGGAGACCCCAGCUGGUGGCCUAUGACCCAAAUCCAUCCCUGGGAUGUGUUAUAUUUGGCCUGGAAAGUGUUUAAAAGAAAAUGAACCAGUUGCCAACAUAUAAAAUUUGGAAUGUCAAAUAAAACGUUUGGCAUCUCUUUUUUACAAAGUUGGAAGAGCUGUAACACAGAGAUCGCAUUUCCAUAAGGCAGCAAUUAGCUGGAGAUGGGUAGCAGUCACUCCCUUGAAAUGGGGCACACACCGGCCACUUCUCCAUAGUCCCCAGCCUCUAUUCACUUCUAUAUUUACCCAUCUUUUACUCUUUUAUGUUCCUUGUCUUUGUAGGUGUUUGUUUUGUUUUGAGAUAGAGUCUCGCUCUGUUGCCCAGGCUGGCGUACAGUGGUGUGAUCUUGGCUCACUGCAACUUCCACCUCCCAGGUUCAAGUGAUUCUCCUGCCUCAGCCUCCCCAGUAGCUAGGAUUACAGGCACCCACCACCAUGCUCGGCGAAUUUUUAUAUUUUUAGUAGAGAUGGGGUUUCACCAUGUUGGCCAGGCUGGUCUCAAACUCCUAACCUCAGGUGAUCCGCCUGCCUCGGCCUCCCAAAGUGCUGGGAUUACAGGUGUGGGCCACCAUGCCUGGCCUUGUGUUUUGACCACUGCAAUGGCCUCCAAAUUGUAUGGGUUUGUGGCUUGUUCCAGUGGAAUAAGAAUAGACAGCUGACUUGAUCUCGUGGUGAUUUGUGGAAAUCAGUAAUGUGGCAGGGUUUUAUCGGCUAAAUCGUGCCGCCCACCCCCCAUCCCCCGCAACCAAACUUGUAUGUUGAAGUCCUAACUCCCAGUACCUCAGAAUGUGACUGUACUUGGUUCUUAAAGAGGUGAUUAAGUUAAAAUGAGGUCAUUAGGGUGGGCUGUAAUGCAGUAUGAUUGGUGUCCUUAUGAGAAGAGGAAAUUAGGACACAGAGAUGCACACAGGGACAUAUGAAGGAAGGCAUCUACAAGCCAAAGAGAGAGGCGUGAGAAGAAACUAACCCUGCUGACACCAAAACCUUGGUCUCAGACUUCUAGAAGGCAGAAACUUCUGUUGUUCGAGUCACCCAGUCUACGGUACUUUGUUACAGUGGUCCUAGCAAACCAACACACAGGAAUUGUUCACUGCCUCCAAAUACCUAUAUAUCUAUAACCUAUAUCCACAGAACACAGAUAAAAAGCUUCAUCUCCCAGCCUUCCUUGCAGUUGUGGUCAUGUGACCAAGUUGUAGCCAUAGGAUGCAAAUGGAUGUGUUAUGUGAGUCACAGGAGGUGGCCUUAAAAGGGAGGUGGUACCGCACCUGGAAUCACAGCUACUCGGGAGGCUGAGGUGACAGGAUCACUUGAGGCCAGGAGUUCGAGACAAGCCUGGGCAACAUAUCCAGACACCAUCUCUAAACAAAUUUUUAUAAAUUAGCCAGGUGUGAUGGUGUGCUUGUAGUCUUAGCUACUCAGGAAGCUGAAGUGGGAGGAUGGUUGAGCCCAGGAGUUCAAGGCUGUAGUGAGCUAUGAUUGCACCACUGCCCUCCACCCAGCCUGGGCAAUAGAGCAAGACCCUGUCUCUAAAAAACAAAGACAGAGAAGGUGGUGCCAUCUUAUUGUUCCCCUCAUCCAUCCUGCUGCCUGAAAAUUUGUUUUGAUGGUUGGAGCUCUAGCAGCCACACGGGACCAUGAGGACAAGGGCUACUCCCUGGGAUAUUAAGUCUUGAAGGAGCUUGGAUCCCCAAGAAAUGGAGGUGCCAUAUUAGCCUUAAGUGCCUACCACAAGACUUACUUUAUAUAGGAGAGCUAAACUUCCUACGGGCUUAAAGCCAUUGCAGGGACAGGGGAAAGCGUCCUCUGUGAUUAAAGCCAUACAAAAAGGGAGGGAACUGAGGAUAUUGGCAAGAAAGUGCCUAAAACAAUGAUCACUGGAUAUACACUUGGAGAGAGGAAGCACUGAUGCCCAGAAGUGGGUUCCAAAUGAGGACCCAGUGGUCUCUCCUUGGCCACAGAGCAGGAGUGUGGUCUCAAGAUGGCAGGAUGAUCAGGAGCAUGUGGUCAGACUGGGGUGCACAAAUGAGAGGCCAGGAUGUUGGAGGAGUCAUCCAAAGAAUUUCUAUGUGCCAAAUCAAAUGACUCAUGGGCAGGGUGAGCGUGGGAUAUACCAAGUAAGCCAUGGUGGCCGGGUGGGCUUAUACUCCACCAGGGGAGUAUAAGUGGAGUGAAAUGUUCCGAACAGGCCAAGUGGCCUGGGUUAUAGCAAGCGGGCCAUAAGGCGGCAUGGGUGGGUGUUGUAAAGUCUCCCCCAGAGGAGUUGCAUAUCGUCAGGAGCUCUGACCCUGGUUCAGAUCAUCUGGGUCUGAGUCCUGGUGCUUCCGUCUUGAGCACACCUGUCUCAGAUCUGAGUAUCAAUCACAAGCCCUCCUCCCCAUGCGACCUUGGCCAAGUGACUUCACCUUCCUGAUCCUCAGUUUCCUCAUUCAUCAAAUGAGGAUGACAGCAGUGUCUGUAUCACAGAAUUAGCGGGAGGAUGAGACGCCAUACAACCAUGAAAGCAUCCUCAUCCCCACUCUUCCAUGGCAUCGUUUAAUGAUUGUAUGAGAUGGUGUCACUAAGUGUGUAGAAUGGCUCCUAGCACGUAGUGAGUGUUAGAGAAGGCUGGCAAACUUAGGAUUGCCAUCUCCAAGUUUGAGGUGGGGAAACGGAGGCAUGGGGAGAUUAGAGAAGUGGUCCAAAAUCACAUGGCUACAUUUGACCCUGGUGGUCAGGCUCCAGAGCCUCCACACCUAAUCGCUGCAUACAUAAUCUCCACACCUAAUACUGCAUCCAGUCUGUACCACGUCAUCUACUCCAUGGUUUAUAUAUACAUAUAUACAAAUAAGAUCACCUGGGAUCACCAAGAGGCAGUCAGCCUACAUCAGCUCCUCCAUCUCCCUGCUGCUCCCUCUGGAGGAGACGCAAAAGUCAUCCUUGAUUCUUCCCAUUGCCCUCACCCACCUACAUCUGGUCCAGUCUAUCUCCAAAUAUAUCCUGGGCCUACUGUUCUUGUCCAGAAGAGCCCAGCGUUCCCUUCUGAUAAGCGGGGCUAUAAAACCCAGCCUCACAGGGCCGGUAGAGGAUAUCCUUUAGGAAGAUACUUAAUAUGAAUGACUCUGUGUAUGGCAAACACAGCCUUUUGCACGCAUGGGCAAGCCUGGCACACGGUCAAAUCCUUAUGCCCACCCCACUCUGCUCAGACCUCAUCUGGGCCCCCGGACCACUGUGACUGGUCCAAGCCACCAUGGGCCGGCUUCUCACUGGAAGUCUUCCUGCCUUUGUCCAGGCCCCAUACAGCUGCCAGAGAGAUCUUGUUAAAUCCCAGGUCAGAUCCUGUCUCUCUGUGUAAAGUCCUCCAACAGCUCCCCCAUUUCAAGAGCAAAAAACAAAAGUCAUUCCAAGGGCCUACAACAGUGAUUCUCAAAGAGUGUUCCCGGAGCAGCAGCAUCAGCAUUCCCUGGGAUCUUGACAGAAACGUCCAUGUCUGGGCCCUACCUUGGACCUCCUGGUCAGAGGUGGUGAAGCCCAGAAAUCUGCAUUUUAAAUAAGCUCCCAGGGGAUUCUGAUGUAUGCUGGGGCUUGAGAACCCCCUGUCUAUGAGGAUCUACAGGAGGUGGCCCCUUGCUAUCUCUCUGAUUUCACCUUUACUCCAGCCCCACGGGCCCCAGGGUCUUGCACUGGCUAUUCCCUGUGGCCUGAAAAUCUCUUUCCACAGAUUAUCUGCAUGGCUGUCGCUGUCACUGUCACCUUGCUCAGGUCUUUGCUCAACUGGACCCUGUCAUUUCCACCUGCCCUGACCAACCUAUUUAAAAUUAUCACCCAGCCAGGUACGGUAGUUCAUGCCUGUAAUCCCAGCACUUUGGGAGGCUGAGGUGGGAAGAUCACUUGAGCCCAGGAGUUCAAGACCAACCCAUGCAACAUAACAAGACACCAUCAUUACAAACUAUUUAAAAAAUUAGCCAAAGAUGGUGGCGCACACCUAUAGUCCCAGCUACUUGGGAGGCUGAGGCAGGAAGAUCGCUUGAGCCCAGGAGUUUGAAGCUGUAGUGAGGUAUAAUCACAUCACUGCAAUCCAGCCUGGGUGACAAAGUGAGACCCUAUCUCAAAAAAACAAAAAAACUAUCACCCCUUUCUCUUCCCCUUCUCUGUUUUCCUCCAUGGCAGGGAUCACCAACUGACAUACUAAGAUACUAAGAUAUUUUAUCGAUUAUGUUUAUUGUCUAUCUCCCCAGACUCCACCCCAAUAUAAGCAACCCGAGGACAGGUGGUUUGCAGUUUUGGUCACAGCGGUUGUUCCUGGCACAUUCAGUAAGUAUAAUUGAACGUAUUGCACCAGCUUCUCCCGGCCUCCAGACUCUCCCUCUGGUCCAUCUUUGACACGACCCCAGAGGGUUCUUUCUACACCCAGAGCUGCCCCUACUUCUUCACUGCUCACACUCCUGCUGCAGCUCCCCAGCGCCCUGAGGAAAGAGACUCAACACUCUCUGACUUUUCUGCUGAACUCUGCACCUAGGUAUCUAGCUGCCUCCUAAACGUCCCUGGGACCCCUCAAAGUCACUGCCUUCUAACCCAGCUUAUCAUCUGCCCCCGGCUCUUUCUCUCAGGCUCCUUAUUUCGGUGAUGACCCACCGCCCAACAGGCACAGAGCAGGACCUGUCUCAGAUGCUGUUCUCUAUGCUUCCCAAAACAGCCCAGCAGACCUAACUCUCUGGCCCUGGCCCUUCUCCACCUUCACGGCCCCAGCCCCCACUCGGGCCUCCGCUCUGGCCUGGACCCUCACCCAGCCUCUUCUCUCUCCCCUCCAAGUUUGUCCCCCAUGCGGCCCCACAGAAGGCUUCCAUUCCCAGAUCCAAAGGUUCCUCAUCUUUUCAAAAGCUUCUGUAACAAGGCAGCCUAUGUGGGGAGAAAGGGCAUUUCUUGGAAUCCUGCACACCCCCACAUGGAGAGGUUUAGGGCCUCAGGUCUCCCUUUAGGGUGGAGAUGGGGAGAGCCACAGCUGAGGCCUUCUCCAGGCUGGCCCUGGAUGCCCCCUGGGUGGAUGGGAACCUUCCCUCUUCCGGGAUUGUUGACAGGACGCUUGGAGGGCAAAGCAGGAAGCAAAAGGAGCGACUGUGGGUGUGGGAAUAAGCCCUGAGCUCCUGGACCUAAGAGGAAGCCAGUUUAUUCUAUAGCGCAGGGCUCUGUAACUCCUGCAACUCCGAGCCUCCACAGUUCCAGGGUCUGGCACCUCGUGGGGAUCAUGGCCAUGGUGAUCAGGCAUGAUUACCGCCCAUGCUGCCCAUCGGCAUUGCGUGGCCCCCAGCCCUGAGGUCUCUUCGCACAGCCACACACCUCAAGGCUGUCACAUGUGCCUGUCUCACCAGGACAGUCACACCUUGUCUCUUUUCACUGCUGUCACCUGAGUGAUCCACUCUGCUGUUCCUGUUUUCCCGCCCUCUAAUUGCCUCACACCUCAAAAAUGUGGAAUCACUUUAUAAGAAAUCUGUGUGUGUGUGUGAGUGUGAGUGUAUGUCUCUGAGCGUGUCUGUGUGCGAGUGUGUGUGUGUUCUAUCCUAGAGGAAGAUGCCUUCCCUAAGAUCAGGCUCAUCAGGCAGCCCCAACCCCUGCACUGAGCUCCAUGGCCAUCCUAGGAGGCAAGAAGAUUGUCCCACUUUACAGAUGGGUAAGUUGAGGCCAGGAGAGGGGCAGUGACACACCCAGAACUUCAUAGCCAGUAAGAGUGUGAGCCAUGCAGCCAUGGCAGAACCUAUGCCUACCCGACCCCAUCUGGACUUCCAGCUCUAGGCAAUUUCUGCAGCGUCCCUUCCCCCUCACCACCUUCAGCCCCUGGCUCUUAGAGCUGCCUUCAGCCUUCGUUUGGACAAGUAGCUGAGCUCAAUGUCUUCCCAGCUUUCCCCUCCCGGAUCACUGCCCAACUCUGGGGGCCUCCUUCCUCUGCCCUGGGCCCUCCCACAUACCCAUUUCUUAGGGGCUCCAAGUCCACAUCUCCCAUCUCCCCAUCCCCACACACUCACCCUGGGCAGCAGCCAGCUCCUGCAGGGCAUGGGUCAUCUGGGUGAAGGUGUCAUGCAGGUGGCUU
rnacentral:lncRNA from 1 species